rnacentral:ncRNA from 1 species
CGGACUUCUGGAGAGACCUAGUCAUUUUUUAAAUGACACUAGUGAUCUUUCGUUAGUAUGUUUUUAAGGACUGAGUAUUGUAAUACUAACAUGAAAGAACUAGAUAGGCGCCGAAGGGGCAAGGCUAGAUAUACACAUCUAGCUCAAACUCUCAGGCAAAAGGACAGAAGAUA